UUUAAAAAACAACUUAGUUCACUGCAAACACUGUGAUGCCAUGUAUAAGUACAACACAGCCACGACUUAAAUGACCAAAUGACCACUUAAACAAAGUGCAUCCGACCCUGGUUAAUAUCAGCGGCGGUGCAUCCUGCUCUCAGUCUCAACUUAGCAUCAAGUUGCAGUCGCGUCUGACCCCAGAUCAUGUCAACAUGCUUAUCUUUCUCAACAAAAAUCAGUAGACUGGUGCAGAAGUUGUAUGUGAGUUACUAGUUAUUUUUUAUGAGGCUUUGUUAAGUAGCCUAAUUAAUUGUUAGGUAGGCUAUCUCUCUCACCCUCUUUCUCUACUCCGUGCCUUGGAUAGUUUUGAGUUACAUUUUGACAAAACCUGUCAGAUCUAAGUAUUAUUAUGUUUUUGGUUAAGUUCUUAUUUAACAUGAUUCUUUUUUUAUUAUUUAUUAUUUUGAAACAAAGGAGGGUCUCUGUUUAAGAACACCGGCUCGCAGCUGCAGGUUCCGCUGCUUUAGAGCACCGCAGCGCAUAUAUCUUCAAGUUUAGCCUAACCGAACGUCCAGUUUCACUGCCACAAGUUGUUCUUCUUGUAAUAAAGAUUUCAAUGAGG